rnacentral:ncRNA from 1 species
CGGCAACUCCACAACAUUGCCGCAAACCGCCGGGAAAGGAGUUAUUCAGUCCGCAGACUUGCGGUGCGGCAGUGUGGAGACCUGCCGUAAUGCGUCGCGCUCCAACGCGGGCGGUCGCGAGGUACAGGCCGGCGGAGGCCCCUGUAUCAAAGUCGGUAACAUGGCA